rnacentral:rRNA from 1 species
AGGACAAACGCUGGCGGCGUGCCUAAGACAUGCAAGUCGGACGGGGGCUUCGGCCCCGAGUGGCGGACGGGUGAGGAGCGCGUGGAGAACCUGCCCCGGGAUGGGGGAUACCAGCCAGAAAUGGCUGCUAAUACCGCAUACGAUUCCCCGCUGGUAAGGCGUGGGAAGGAAAGCCGCAAGGCGUCCUGGGAGGGUCCGCGUCGGAUUAGCUAGUUGGUGGGGUAACGGCCUACCAAGGCGACGAUCCGUAGC